rnacentral:rRNA from 1 species
AACGAACGCUGGCGGCAUGCCUAACACAUGCAAGUCGAACGAGAGCUUCGGGUCUAGUUGCGCACGGGUGCGUAACGCGGGGGAACCUGCCCUUAGGUUCGGAAUAACUCCCCUAAGGGGGUGCUAAUACCGGAUAAUGUCUUCGGACCAAAGAUGCAUCGCCUGUGGGGGGGCCCGCGUUCGUUGAGCGUGUUGGUAGGGUAAGGGCCGACCAAGGCGCCGAUCCUUAGCUGGUCUGAGCGGAGGAUCAGCAACACUGGGACGGGGACAAGGCCCAUACUCCGGCGGGAGGCAGCAGUGGGGAUACUGGGACACUGGGCGAAAGCAUGAGCCCGCAAGGCCGGGUGAGUGAUGAAGGCGUUAGGGUUGUAAAGCUCUUUUGCCCGGGAUGGUAAGACGGGAACCGGGAAAGUAGGCCCGGCUAACUUCGGG